GGUACUGGAGGCACAGAGGCCGUGUCAAACCGGAGGGGGCAGGCGUGAGCCGGGUGUAGUGGGGGUAAAGGGCAUGCAGGGGGUUGCGUAAGUCGUAGGGGAAAGCUCCUGGCGCAAAGGGGAGAGGUCGGUCGAGACUGCGCGGGUGGAGGGUGGAAGAGGAGAGCGGAAUUCCCGGGGUAGUGGUGGAAUGCGUAGAGAUCGGGAGGAACACCAGUGGCGAAAGCGGCUCUCUGGUCCACACCUGACGCUCAGGUGCGAAAGCGUGGGUAGCGAACGGGAUUCGAUACCCGUGUAGUC
rnacentral:rRNA from 1 species